UACAGAGGGGGCAAGCGUUGUUCGGAAUUACUGGGCGUAAAGGGCGCGUAGGCGGCCUUCUAAGUCGAACGUGAAAUCCCCGGGCUCAACCCGGGAACUGCGUCCGAUACUGGAAGGCUUGAAUCCGGGAGAGGGAUGCGGAAUUCCAGGUGUAGCGGUGAAAUGCGUAGAUAUCGUUUGGAACGCCAAAGGUGAAAACAGACAGCUGGGAGUGUGCUGACGCUGAGACACGAAAGCCAAGGGAGCGAACGGG
rnacentral:rRNA from 1 species